rnacentral:sRNA from 20 species
AAAAAAAAUGGGCGCAACGCCCAUCUUCCCUUACUGCCUGGUCGCACCUGAGCCGCACAUAAAUCCGUACGCCCAGCGACUUUGUGAUUAUAGCGUUUU